rnacentral:rRNA from 1 species
UCGAACGGGCCUCGUAUAUCUGUUGCUUCCUAUCGCGGUUAAUCCGGCAUGGAUAUAGCAUGGAAAAGCUGUGUGUAAUACACCCAAUCGGGGCCAGACUGAGGGCCGCCUAGACAAGGGCCCCAGCAAAAAAGGACCCUGGCACGAUGGAUCCUGCCCCAUUAACAGCUCCCAUAGUACUUCGGCCGAGGAUGAGCCUUCUCAGGCACGGACAGUCAGGCCCUAGGAAACGGAGGCCUCCGCGAUCCCCGGUAAGCCCCUCCUCGACUCGGCUCCCACGUCUGGGCUGGGCAGGCUUGUAUCCAGGGUACAGCAGAGACUAACCACAAGCGCGCGAAGGGCUUCAGACCUAUCAGCUUGAUGGCAGGGUAUUGGCCUGCCAUGGCUAUGACGGGUACAGAGGAUUAGGGUUUGAUCCUGGAGAGGUAGCCUGAGAAAUCGCUCCCACUUCUAAGGAAGGAGCCAGGCGCGA